AAUGGGCGAAAGCCUGACGCAGCAACGCCGCGUGGGUGAUGGAGGCCUUCGGGUUGUAAAGCCCUGUCGGGUGGAACGAACAGGUCCUGAGGAGGGACUCUGACGGUACCAUCGGAGGAAGCACCGGCUAACUUCGUGCCAGCAGCCGCGGUAAUACGAAGGGUGCAAGCGUUGCUCGGAAUUAUUGGGCGUAAAGCGUACGCAGGCGGUCUACCAAGUCGGGCGUGAAAGUCCGGGGCUCAACUCCGGGAAGUCGCACGAAACUAGCAGACUUGAGUUCGGGAGAGGGGUGUGGAAUUCCCAGUGUAGAAGUGAAAUUCGUAGAUAUUGGGAGGAACACCGGUGGCGAAGGCGACACCCUGGCCCGAAACUGACGCUCAUGUACGAAAGCGUGGGUAGCAAACAGGAUUAGAUACCCUGGUAGUCCACGCCGUAAACGAUGGGUGCCAGAUGUUGCGGGUAUUAUUCCUGCAGCGUCGUAGCUAACGCAUUAAGCACCCCGCCUGGGGAGUACGGCCGCAAGGUUAAAAACUCAAAGGAAUUGACAGGGG
rnacentral:rRNA from 1 species